rnacentral:rRNA from 1 species
CCUACGGGUGGCAGCAGGGAGGAAUAUUGGUCAAUGGGCGCGAGCCUGAACCAGCCAAGUAGCGUGAAGGAUGACUGCCCUACGGGUUGUAAACUUAUGUUAUAAAGGAAUAAAGGGAGGCACGUGUGCCGUUGGGUAUGUACGUGAUGAAUAAGGAUCGGCUAACUCCGUGCCAGCAGCCGCGGUAAUACGUAGGGUCCGAGCGUUAUCCGGAUUUCUUGGGGUGAAAGGGAGCGUAGAUGGGGUGGUAAGUCCGUUGUGCAAGUUUGCGGCUCAACCGUAACAUUGCAAUUGAUACGGGCAGUCUUGAGUACAGUUGAGGUAGUCGGACUUCGUGGUGUAGCGGU